ensembl:lncRNA
GCCACCACAUCCAGGUAAUUUUUAUAUUUUUAGUAGAGAUGGGGUUACACCAUAUUGGCCAGGCUGGUCUUGAACUUCUGACCUCAAGUGAUCCACCUGCUUUAGCCUCCCAAAGAGCUGGGAUUACAGGUGCCUGCCACCACACCUAUUUUUCUAUUUUUAGUAGAGAUGGGCCAGGCUGGUCUCAAACUCCUGACCUCAAGUGAUCCACCCAUGUUGGCCUCCCAAAGUGCUAAUUCCAGGUAUGAGCCACCACACCGGGCCAGGGUAGUUAAAAAUUGUAUGCUCUGAAUGUGUAAAACAGGUUGUCCAAGAAAUCUUAUGGACAAUAAGUCAUUUAUUUUGGAAAUUAUUCUAAAGCCUUUUGAAAUAGAGCUCUGCUAGAAUGAGAUGCUGCCUCAGAGCUGGUUACCAGGGGAUAGAUUUUCUUGGAACAGUAGCCAUAAAGGAACUUCAUAUUCUGAUGUGAUCUGAAAAUGUAUUCAACAAAGUGAAUAUAUAACGAAAGCAAGAACAUUAUAUAAAUAAUUUGCGCUCCAACUUUUCCUGUAUGCAGAAAGUCAUACCAGUGUAGAGUCUUAACAUGUUUGUGGGUAGGAGAGGGUACAGAAUAGAGUAGACACAGGGCCAUUCAAGGAUCCUCUACAAGACAAUCAUUCCUGAGUCAUCAGCCUAAUCGGAAAAUGGUGUGUAUGGUUAGGCCAAAAUUAGCCUCUUCUUUCAUUUCAACUUGGUGAUUCAGUCAAGUCCCUCUUAGUCCUGGUGGUACCUUGAGGGGGCACUCACAUUCACAACUGAUGGAAGUGGGACUUCCUUUUUUUUGGAAGUCAAUUUGGUAUUGUAAUUAAAGCGAUAAGAAUUAAAAAUAUCCCUCUACUUAGACACUCUCCCGAGUAGCUAACACAUAAGUACCAUUUACUACAUGUCAGGCACUGUUCUACACCUGUAUAUAUGAAUACAUUCGAUCCUCAUGACUGCCCUAUGAAGUACUUUUAUUUUGCAAAUGAGGAAACAGAGACUCACCUGAGGCAGAGCUUGGCUGGCUCUGCCUCGGCUGGGGCUGCAUUGUUGAAGCAGAUGCUAAACUGCCUUUCAUUAUAAAACAAAAACUAAACAAUCUGUGGUCAAAAACAUCGGUCCAAACAUUAUUUAUAAUAGUGAAAAUUUUUUGAAAGGAGAUAAGUAUUCAUAUGCAGCCAUUAUAAACGGUUAUUUAAAAAAAGAGAACGAACACUGAUGUGCACCUGGCAGUUCAGAGCCCAGGCUCCAGAGUGAGGCCUGAGAGUGUGCAGACCAGACACAGAGAAGCCAAGCUUGUUGGGGAGAAUCGGACACAGGGAGAGCAGUGCUCCUGGGAGACAGGCAGAGCAGGAGAAGAGGAGAUAGAACAAAAUUAAGGACCCUGCCAAAAACAGGAGGGUCCAACUCUUCUAUCUCUUCUGUCAACAUCAUCCACGAAAGAAACUGCACAACCAAAAGAUUUCUGGGAACAAAAAGAUCAACAGAGAGCAUUUCACGUAUCUGACUGUGGAGCUGAGACUAAUGUAAGUUGGAUCAUGGGAAUGAAAAACAUGAAGACAUGUAAACAUUAUAUACCAAUAAAGUAGAAAUGCAAUGAUGAUUGUUUACCUCUC